CUUCUCGCUCCUAUCAAUGGUUGUGGCAAGAUUGGCGAGCUCAAAGACAUGUCCUCUAAAAGCCCUGUUCUUUACCUCGAUUUUCCUCAGGGUCGGAUGAAGUUGCUUCGGAUCAUUGUGUAUCCAAGAAACAGAUUUUUGACAUUGCAAUUCUCUAGGAGUGGAAAGAAUGUUGUGUAUUGUAUUUUCUGAGGCAUGGUGGGUUGGAACAAAGGAAGAGAACCCGGAGGAAUUGAAACUUGAUUUUCCUAAGGAACUGUUUGAUGUUCUGUUUGUUCAUGUAUCUGUGAUUUUUUUUGGAUAUAUAUAUA